AGUGAACGCUGGCGGUAGGCCUAACACAUGCAAGUCGAACGGCAGCACAGUAAGAGCUUGCUCUUACGGGUGGCGAGUGGCGGACGGGUGAGGAAUACAUCGGAAUCUACUUUUUCGUGGGGGAUAACGUAGGGAAACUUACGUUAUUACCCCAUACGACCUACGGGUGAAAGCAGGGGUCUUUCGGACCUUGGGCGAUUGAUGAAGCGAUGUCGGGUUAGCUAGUUGGCGGGGUAAAGGCCCACCAAGGCGACGAUCCGUAGCUGGUCUGAGAGGAUGAUCAGCCACACUGGAACUGAGACACGGUCCAGACUCCUACGGGAGGCAGCAGUGGGGAAUAUUGGACAAUGGGCGCAAGCCUGAUCCAGCCAUACCGCGUGGGUGAAGAAGGCCUUCGGGUUGUAAAGCCCUUUUGUUGGGAAAGAAAAGCAGCAGGUUAAUACCCCGCUGUUCUGACGGUACCCAAAGAAUAAGCACCGGCUAACUUCGUG
rnacentral:rRNA from 1 species